ACUCACAGGUAUAUUCCAGAAACAUAAAGUGUUGGAAUGAUCCUUUACCAGAUUGCAUUACAUCAUAAUAAGUAACAAAUCUCACCCAAUCAGCGUGUCGCAUGAGAUGACACAGGGGGCACCUGCUGUGUCCAAAAUUAGUAGAGAAAUACCCAGCAGCCCGAUCCUUCAUUUAGAGGGCGAGCAGAAAGAAAGAGGCUGUUAAUUUCACCUCGUCUGAACAAGGAUGUACACACGUAAUCCUAAUUUUUGGGUUGUGUCACCUGAAUGUCAUCUGUCCCAUCUUCUAUAUUCAAACAUGCCAACUGACCAGGAUGAAGAUGAAGAAGCAGCAGAGGGUUUUUCUUCAGUGUGCCAUCACACAGGCUACCCUCAUGAUGUUAUCAGUCAGGCUGUUGACGCUCGCUGGUCUUCAUGUGAAUCACCCACAUUCUCAGGAAUCUCCAGCUCUCUGUGCAUGAUUGAACAGGAACAAAGCCUCUCCUCAUUGGAAAAUCAAAGAACCAUAGUUGAAGAUGAUCAAGAGGAGAUGCAGCAUUUUGUUGAAGGUUGUUGUUGGAAUCAUGUAAAUACAGAAAGUCACCAGUGUGUCGAUCUUUAUGAGCAAAGGGACCCAGAAGGAAUGAACCCCUUCUGGGGAGGAUCUCCACUGAUUUAUUAUGGAAUGGCGAGAAAUGUCGUGGUGGGAGUGGAUGUUGUGGAAGAAGUAGAAGUUGAAGAUGUUGUUGAAGUAAUAACAGGGGAUGUGUUUGCAGAUGGUCAGAGAGAGCCAGAGUUUUUGCAAGAAGAACACCUGUUCCCCACUUGAAAAGGACAACUUCAAGUUUUUUCCACUGACAAAGCUGUUAUUUACACUUUCAGUUGUUCUCUUCGUGUAUGUUAUUUUUUUUGUCUUUAUUUAUGUAUUGAAAGUAAUUUUAGAUCAAUAAAUUUGCUGUGCUCAACAGUUUUUUUUUAAAGUGAUUUAAUAUUAAAUUUAGGUGAGACUAUGUCUGUUCUCAUCAGUCAUAAGUUCCUGCACACAGGAGGAAACAAUUUACAGACAGUAGCAUUUACGGCCCAAUAAUCUGUAUUUCUGGUUUAUGCAUGUUUGGGUUCUCACAAAACUUAGAAAAGUCCGAGCACAAAGGGGAGACUUCCUGAUUACAAUAACCUAAUUUUCUUGUUAUCAUAUUUGCUUUUCUCAGAGGAGCAGCUUUCAUCUGAAUUACUGCACUCCUGCCCUCUGCUGAUGAUGGAUAAUAAUCACAGUUUGAAGCAGUCAAUUUCAGUCCUCAUCAAGCAGAACAUCAUCUGCAUAUAAAGAAAUUUUUCGACGAAAAAUAAACACAUGCUGAAUUUGACAUAGUUUGAAAAUAAUCACUGAUUUUAGUUAAUCCUCAACAUAUUCGUUUUUCCCCUUUUUUAAUUAAAACAAGGCAACACUGUAGCAUAGCUGUGCAUAUUUAAGAUUUCAUUUUACCUAUUCCAAGUAGUUCUCAUAAUCCUUAAUCUGUUAAUGAGCCAUCAUGCAUGUGAGUGUACUGAGAAACUACAAAAGUGCAGUUAACUUACUCUAACUUAGUUCUUUUGUGCUCCAUCCUUUUUUUCUAUUUCCUCAUGUUUUAUACUUACUGUCACUGAAAAAUGUCCUAUUUAAAAGUAAAAACGUUCAGUAUUUUGACAGUUUUAGUUGUAGAGUGAAGUACAGCGUGAAAGCAGGUUUUCAUUAAUCUUUUGAUAUAUAUAAAAAGUAUUCCCAGUGAUCUUCUGAUUAUGCUGUUUUUAAGAAAGAAAACAACUAACGUCUUCAAGGUCAUAGUUUCUGAAGGGCAGCAGGAGUUCAUUAAAAGUAUGCCUCUGUGUUGUGGGCGGGACCGUUGGUGAAUCCCUUUGUUUACAAGCUCUUCUAAUAGCUUACAGUCCCUUACAACCCCAACCCAACAUUACAGGUGCAUCAAAAACGACUAGAAAUAUUAUAGCUAUCCUGCCGUACAGUUUUGAGCCAGAUUGUGGAACCUACAUCACUAAUACAAACUUUUUUCAAUGUCAUGAUUGCGUCUGCCCCAGAUUCAGAAAGAAUUGAAUAAAGAAAAAUGUAAAAACUCAAAUUUAAGCUCAAUUUUCUUAGUACAUAUCCUCCAUAGUUAGAAACAUUCACCAAAAAACAUGUUACAAACACCAAAAACAC
ensembl:lncRNA